GCCCGGUUAGCUCAAUCGGUAGAGCGUGAGACUCUUACUCAAGAGUACACGAAAUCUCAAGGUUGCGGGUUCGACCCCCGCAUCGGGCU